rnacentral:rRNA from 1 species
AUUGAACGCUGGCGGCAGGCCUAACACAUGCAAGUCGAACGAGCGGCGGACGGGUGAGUAAUGUCUGGGAAACUGCCUGAUGGAGGGGGAUAACUACUGGAAACGGUAGCUAAUACCGCAUACCAUCGGAUGUGCCCAGAUGGGAUUAGCUGGUAGGUGGGGUAACGGCUCACCUAGGCGACGAUCCCUAGCUGGUCUGAGAGGAUGACCAGCCACACUGGAACUGAGACACGGUCCAGACUCCUACGGAAGGCAGCAGUGGGGAAUAUUGCACAAUGGGCGCAAGCCUGAUGCAGCCAUGCCGCGUGUAUGAAGAAGGCCUUCGGGUUGUAAAGUACUUUCAGUCGGGAGGCGUUACCCACAGAAGAAGCACCGGCUAACUCCGUGCCAGCCGCCGCGGUAAUUC